UAACCCUACCCCCCAGGGGAAGUCGAAUCCCCGCUGCCUCCUUGAAAGAGAGAUGUCC
rnacentral:tRNA from 3 species